UACGUAGGGUGCGAGCGUUAAUCGGAAUUACUGGGCGUAAAGCGUGCGCAGGCGGUUCGUUAUGUCCGAUGGGAAAGCCCCGAGCUUAACUUGGGAAUGGCAUUGGAAACUGGCGGGCUGGAGUGCGGCAGAGGGGGGUGGAAUUCCACGUGUAGCAGUGAAAUGCGUAGAGAUGUGGAGGAACACCGAUGGCGAAGGCAGCCCCCUGGGCCGACACUGACGCUCAGGCACGAAAGCGUGGGGAGCAAACAGG
rnacentral:rRNA from 1 species